CACUAUCGUUAACUGAAUACAUAGGUUAACGAGGCGAACCGGGGGAACUGAAACAUCUAAGUACCCCGAGGAAAAGAAAUCAACCGAGAUUCCCCCAGUAGCGGCGAGCGAACGGGGAGCAGCCCAGAGUCUGAAUCAGCUUGUGUGUUAGUGGAACGGUCUGGAAAGUCCGACGGUACAGGGUGAUAGUCCCGUACACCAAAAUGCACAGGCUGUGAACUCGAAGAGUAGGGCGGGACACGUGGUAUCCUGUCUGAAUAUGGGGGGACCAUCCUCCAAGGCUAAAUACUCCUGACUGACCGAUAGUGAACCAGUACCGUGAGGGAAAGGCGAAAAGAACCCCGGCGAGGGGAGUGAAAAAGAACCUGAAACCGUGUACGUACAAGCAGUGGGAGCACCUUCGGGUGUGACUGCGUACCUUUUGUAUAAUGGGUCAGCGACUUAUAUUCUGUAGCAAGGUUAACCGUAUAGGGGAGCCGCAGGGAAACCGAGUCUUAACUGGGCGUUAAGUUGCAGGGUAUAGACCCGAAACCCGGUGAUCUAGCCAUGGGCAGGUUGAAGGUUGGGUAACACUAACUGGAGGACCGAACCGACUAAUGUUGAAAAAUUAGCGGAUGACUUGUGGCUGGGGGUGAAAGGCCAAUCAAACCGGGAGAUAGCUGGUUCUCCCCGAAAGCUAUUUAGGUAGCGCCUCGUGAAUUCAUCUUCGGGGGUAGAGCACUGUUUCGGCUAGGGGGUCAUCCCGACUUACCAACCCGAUGCAAACUACGAAUACCGAAGAAUGUUAUCACGGGAGACACACGGCGGGUGCUAACGUCCGUCGUGAAGAGGGAAACAACCCAGACCGCCAGCUAAGGUCCCAAAGUCAUGGUUAAGUGGGAAACGAUGUGGGAAGGCACAGACAGCCAGGAUGUUGGCUUAGAAGCAGCCAUCAUUUAAAGAAAGCGUAAUAGCUCACUGGUCGAGUCGGCCUGCGCGGAAGAUGUAACGGGGCUAAACCAUGCACCGAAGCUGCGGCAGCGACACUAUGUGUUGUUGGGUAGGGGAGCGUUCUGUAAGCCUGCGAAGGUGUGCUGUGAGGCAUGCUGGAGGUAUCAGAAGUGCGAAUGCUGACAUAAGUAACGAUAAAGCGGGUGAAAAGCCCGCUCGCCGGAAGACCAAGGGUUCCUGUCCAACGUUAAUCGGGGCAGGGUGAGUCGACCCCUAAGGCGAGGCCGAAAGGCGUAGUCGAUGGGAAACAGGUUAAUAUUCCUGUACUUGGUGUUACUGCGAAGGGGGGACGGAGAAGGCUAUGUUAGCCGGGCGACGGUUGUCCCGGUUUAAGCAUGUAGGCUGGUUGUCCAGGCAAAUCCGGAUAAUCAAGGCUGAGGUGUGAUGACGAGGCACUACGGUGCUGAAGUAACAAAUGCCCUGCUUCCAGGAAAAGCCUCUAAGCAUCAGGUAACAUCAAAUCGUACCCCAAACCGACACAGGUGGUCAGGUAGAGAAUACCAAGGCGCUUGAGAGAACUCGGGUGAAGGAACUAGGCAAAAUGGUGCCGUAACUUCGGGAGAAGGCACGCUGGUGUGUAGGUGAAGCCCCUGCGGGUGGAGCUGAGACCAGUCGAAGAUACCAGCUGGCUGCAACUGUUUAUUAAAAACACAGCACUGUGCAAACACGAAAGUGGACGUAUACGGUGUGACGCCUGCCCGGUGCCGGAAGGUUAAUUGAUGGGGUUAUCCGUAAGGAGAAGCUCUUGAUCGAAGCCCCGGUAAACGGCGGCCGUAACUAUAACGGUCCUAAGGUAGCGAAAUUCCUUGUCGGGUAAGUUCCGACCUGCACGAAUGGCGUAAUGAUGGCCAGGCUGUCUCCACCCGAGACUCAGUGAAAUUGAACUCGCUGUGAAGAUGCAGUGUACCCGCGGCAAGACGGAAAGACCCCGUGAACCUUUACUAUAGCUUGACACUGAACAUUGAGCCUUGAUGUGUAGGAUAGGUGGGAGGCUUUGAAGCGUGGACGCCAGUCUGCGUGGAGCCAACCUUGAAAUACCACCCUUUAAUGUUUGAUGUUCUAACGUUGGCCCCUGACCGGGGUUGCGGACAGUGUCUGGUGGGUAGUUUGACUGGGGCGGUCUCCUCCCAAAGCGUAACGGAGGAGCACGAAGGUUAGCUAAUCCUGGUCGGACAUCAGGAGGUUAGUGCAAUGGCAUAAGCUAGCUUGACUGCGAGCGUGACGGCGCGAGCAGGUGCGAAAGCAGGUCAUAGUGAUCCGGUGGUUCUGAAUGGAAGGGCCAUCGCUCAACGGAUAAAAGGUACUCCGGGGAUAACAGGCUGAUACCGCCCAAGAGUUCAUAUCGACGGCGGUGUUUGGCACCUCGAUGUCGGCUCAUCACAUCCUGGGGCUGAAGUAGGUCCCAAGGGUAUGGCUGUUCGCCAUUUAAAGUGGUACGCGAGCUGGGUUUAGAACGUCGUGAGACAGUUCGGUCCCUAUCUGCCGUGGGCGCUGGAGAAUUGAGGGGGGCUGCUCCUAGUACGAGAGGACCGGAGUGGACGCAUCACUGGUGUUCGGGUUGUCAUGCCAAUGGCACUGCCCGGUAGCUAAAUGCGGAAGAGAUAAGUGCUGAAAGCAUCUAAGCACGAAACUUGCCCCGAGAUGAGUUCUCCCUGAGACUUUAAGUCUCCUGAAGGAACGUU
rnacentral:rRNA from 1 species